AGUGAACGCUGGCGGUAGGCCUAACACAUGCAAGUCGAACGGCAGCACAGUAAGAGCUUGCUCUUACGGGUGGCGAGUGGCGGACGGGUGAGGAAUACAUCGGAAUCUACUUUUUCGUGGGGGAUAACGUAGGGAAACUUACGCUAAUACCGCAUACGUCCUACGGGUGAAAGCAGGGGAUCUUCGGACCUUGCGCGAUUGAAUGAGCCGAUGUCGGAUUAGCUAGUUGGCGGGGUAAAGGCCCACCAAGGCGACGAUCCGUAGCUGGUCUGAGAGGAUGAUAGGACACACUGGAACUGAGACACGGUCCAGACUCCUACGGGAGGCAGCAGUAGGGAAUAUGAAGAAAUGGGCGAAAGCCUGACGGAGUAAAGCCGCGUGAGUGAGGAAGGUCUUCGGAUCGUAAAACUCUGUUAUUAGGGAAGAAAAAAGGUGUAAUUAACUAUGCACGUCUUGACGGUACACAAUAAGAAAGCAACGGCUAACUACGUG
rnacentral:rRNA from 1 species